rnacentral:rRNA from 1 species
CCUACGGGAGGCAGCAGUGAGGAAUAUUGGACAAUGGGCGCAAGCCUGAUCCAGCCAUGCCGCGUGCAGGAAGACGGUCCUAUGGAUUGUAAACUGCUUUUAUACAGGAAGAAACACCUCUACGUGUAGAGACUUGACGGUACUGUAUGAAUAAGCAUCGGCUAACUCCGUGCCAGCAGCCGCGGUAAUACGGAGGAUGCAAGCGUUAUCCGGAAUCAUUGGGUUUAAAGGGUCCGUAGGCGGUUUAAUAAGUCAGUGGUGAAAGCCCAUCGCUCAACGAUGGAACGGCCAUUGAUACUGUUAAACUUGAAUUAUUAGGAAGUAACUAGAAUAUGUAGUGUAGCGGUGAAAUGCUUAGAGAUUACAUGGAAUACCAAUUGCGAAGGCAGGUUACUACUAAUAUAUUGACGCUGAUGGACGAAGCGUGGGGGAGGACGACGAGUAGUAGUACUACGUACGUACGUACGACGACCGUAACGUAGUAGUAUACUAGUGUGUCGUAGACUACUAUAGUAGUGUACGUACGAGAAGUAGUAAGUAAGUACGUACCGUACCGGUAACGGGUAGGUUACGGUUCGUUACGUAAGUUAAGUUAAGUAACGUUAACGUUAAGUUAGUAGUUAGGUUACGGUUACGGUUAGGAGACGACGACCGGACGGACGACGACGGAGGGAGGUAGGAG